CCUACGGGUGGCAGCAGUGAGGAAUAUUGGUCAAUGGGCGCGAGCCUGAACCAGCCAAGCAGCGUGAAGGAUGACUGCCCUACGGGCUGUAAACUUCUUUUAUAAAGGAAUAAAGUGAGGCACGUGUGCCUUCUUGUACGUACUUUAUGAAUAAGGAACGGCUAACCACGCGCCAGCAGCCGCGGUAAUACGGAGGAUCCGAGCGUUAUCCGGAUUUAUUGGGUUUAAAGGGAGCGUAGAUGGGUUGUUAAGUCAGUUGUGAAAGUUUGCGGCGCAACCGUAAAAUUGCAAUUGAUACUGGCAGUCUUGAGUGCAGUUGAGGUGGGCGGAAUGCGUGGUGUAGCGGUGAAAUGCUUAGAUAUAACGAAGAACUCCGAUGGCGAAGGCAGCUUACUAAACUGCCACUGACGUUGAUGCUCGAAAGUGUGGGUAUCAAACAGGAUUAGAUACCCUGGUAGUC
rnacentral:rRNA from 1 species